rnacentral:lncRNA from 1 species
GCAAAUUGAACACCCAGGGACAGAUUUUAAAACCAACAGAGAUGAUUCCAAAUCCAAUAAACAGAUUCAAAAAUAAUCCAACAGCAACACCAAUAUAAGAAACCCAAGCAUGAACCCAAGAAUUCAAUCCAAAAAUCAGCAGUGCCAAAUGCAAACCACAGAAGCAGUAACAAUGUUCUGAUUUUUAGCAGUAAAUAAAGACUUCUCUUGCAGCUUUUAUUUCUCAAAGACUGAAUCUGAAAUUUUUUAUUUCCCUCUAGUACUGAAAAUAUUUUUUCUCUCUAAAUCCUCUUCUUUAAGCGUU